GAUGAACGCUGGCGGCGUGCUUAACACAUGCAAGUCGAACGGAAAGGCCACAGCUUGCUGUGGUACUCGAGUGGCGAACGGGUGAGUAACACGUGGGUGAUCUGCCCUGUACUUCGGGAUAAGCUUGGGAAACUGGGUCUAAUACCGGAUAGGAAUCACAUGUGGGUGUGUGGUUGGAAAGCUUUUGCGGUAUGGGAUGAGCUCGCGGCCUAUCAGCUUGUUGGUGGGGUAAUGGCCUACCAAGGCGUCGACGGGUAGCCGGCCUGAGAGGGUGUACGGCCACCUUGGGACUGAGAUACGGCACAGACUCCUACGGGAGGCAGCAGUGGGGAAUAUUGCACAAUGGGCGCAAGCCUGAUGCAGCGACGCCGCGUGGGGGAUGACGGCCUUCGGGUUGUAAACUCCUUUCGUCAGGGACGAAGCGAAAGUGACGGUACCUGGAUAAGAAGCACCGGCUAACUACGUG
rnacentral:rRNA from 1 species